rnacentral:rRNA from 1 species
GUAGGUGGCGAGCGUUGUCCGGAAUAACUGGGCGUAAAGGGAGCGUAGGUGGUGAUUUAAGUUAGGUGUGAAAGCCCAGGGCUCAACUCUGGAAUUGCACUUAAAACUGGGUCACUAGAGUGCAGGAGGGGUGAACGGAAUUUCUAGUGUAGCGGUGAAAUGCGUAGAUAUUAGGAAGAACACCGGAGGCGAAGGCGGUUCACUGGACUGCAACUGACACUGAGGCUCGAAAGCGUGGGGAGC